rnacentral:lncRNA from 1 species
AUGUUUAUACAGGAAAAGCUGUGGUUUUUCUACUGCUGUGUUUUUAUGGGAAGUGAGACUGGUGGGUUGCCGGGACGGGCGGCGGCCGCCGAGCCGCACUGCUGCGGUUCCGAGGGCUGGUGCGAGGCCGGCGGGCCGAGGCGGCUCGGCCGGGGCUCCGCGGGCGCGGCGCUCCGCGGGCGCGGCGCUGGCGGCGGCAGGAACCUUGGUGCGGCGGAGCCGUUUCCCGCGGCGGCCGGGACGGCUUUGCGGCAGGACGCGGCGGCAGGAGGGGCGCGCUCGGCGCCGGGCCGGGCCAGCGCGGGCCCCUCCCGGAGCACGGGCACAGCGCGGCCCGGGCGGCAGUAAAAUUGCUUCUUUUAAGAAGCAGGCACCAAGACACAGACAGUGGAAUUAUACCUUCUGGAAUCAAACAGGCCUGACAAGAGUCUCUGUUAUGUGGGAAUGAAUGUAUGCUAGCUGGAGCAUCAGCAGAAGUGCUAGGGUCACUGGCAGUGUGAGGUAAGAUAAGGGAAGAAACUCGACUGUACAUUUGUGUAGGGCAUCAUGACUUUCUCCUGAUCUGUUCUGCAAAUAUGCACAAAUAGCCGUCAUCCCACAAAGUUUUAUAGGCAGAUCUCAUUUUCAGCAUUGCAUACCGUGCUAAGUGACUUCAAAAAGUUGCAAUGUGUAAGAGUAAGCCUCUGAAUCUUAGUGGGUCCAAUGCCCAUACACUUUAAGCAACAGUAGUUUUCAUCUUGCCACUUUUACAUCUUAUUUAUCCAAAAUUAAAGAAUUAAAUUUGGGACUUAAAUCAGAAAUCUAAAAUGUGAAACAGAGCACUGUAUAGUGGAAUGAAAGUUCUUAUCAGUCUAUAGUAGCUAGAUACAUCAUUCUGUCAGGACCUUAUCAGACUGAAGUCAGGUUAUGUGUUAGCAUUUCAGUAUCAUCAGAAGCCUUGACGUUUCUACAGGGCUUCUGCUAUGAUUUUCUGUAAUGAAGACGUAGUUCAGUUUAGAACAGAGCAAGCACUUGUGCUGAGUAGUCACACAACUCUGUAGUGGUACCUGUCGUUACAGCCAUCCCUCAGGGUCAGCUGUUGUGGCAGGGCUGCCAGGACCUGAGCACUUGGACCGAACUUCAGAAUGAUUUGGAUCAUUGCUUCUUUUCCUUCUGCCAGUUUAUGUGACAAACCACUGUGGUCCUGGCUGUUUGAAAAACAAGAGAAGAGCUUAGUUCGAGGUCUGAAAUGAGGUUGUUAUUAAGCACUGUAUUUCCAUCAAUGUCAGCAUGCAGCCACUAACAGUUAUGGGAAAUCCAGGUCUCACUGUAGAAUGGCUUGUACUGUCCCAGCUGAUUCUUAGGGUACUG